GCCUCCUUAGCUCAGCUGGUAGAGCAACUGACUUGUAAUCAGUAGGUCGCUGGUUCGAUUCCGGCAGGGGGCUCAA
rnacentral:tRNA from 1 species